GUGCUCACUUCAGAAGCGCCUAAACUAAAAAUUGGAAUGACACACAGAAGAUUAGCACGGCCCCUGUGCAAGAAUGACACCCAAAUUCAUGAAGCAUUCCAUAUUUAA